GACGUAGGGCGCGAGCGUUGUCCGGAUUUAUUGGGCGUAAAGAGCUCGUAGGCGGUUUGUCGCGUCGUUCGUGAAAACUCACAGCUUAACUGUGAGCUUGCGGUCGAUACGGGCAGGCUAGAGUUCGGUAGGGGAGACUGGAAUUCCUGGUGUAGCGGUGAAAUGCGCAGAUAUCAGGAGGAACACCGGUGGCGAAGGCGGGUCUCUGGGCCGAUACUGACGCUGAGGAGCGAAGGCGUGGGGAGCGAACAGG
rnacentral:rRNA from 1 species